GAAGCGGCUCCUGCCGUGACUCCCAGCGCGGCAGGAUCGCCUCCCGCUCCCACCCGGCACAUCCAGCCUGGCCUCGCCUCCCCUCGCCCGCCCCGAUCCAUCCCGGCCCGCCCCGAUCCCACGCGAUCCUCCCUCCUGCCCGGGGACCAUGCCCAAGAAAGAUAAUAAUAAAUAAAGAAGGCAAAGUGAAUUACAUGCAGCUGAAGAAGGAUUUUGACCAGAAAAAGGCAACAAUACAGUUUCAUCAGCCUCAGAGAUUUAAGGAGGAGCUGUGGAAGAUUUUCAGGAGAAGCUGGAGUGCUGCUUUGGGUCUCUGGUGGGGUCCAAUGUUUCCAUCACUCCCCAGGGAUCCCAGGGCCUUCCUCCUCACUAUGAUGAUGUUGAGGUAGGACAGCACAACCUUGCCUGGGAAAUUGUGCAUGGGCUUUUGCUGAUGGCAGUGUUUGCUGUUGUGUGUGUGCUUCUAAC